ensembl:rRNA 5S_rRNA 5S ribosomal RNA
GCCAGCAGCCAUAUCACCCUGCGACUCACAACUGGUAACUGACUGAAGCUAAGCAGGUAUGAGCCUGGUUAUUACCUGAAUGGAAGACCUCCUGGGAAAAACUAAGGUUGCUGCUGGAA